GAAAGGCAAGUUUCCCAAACUCUGACAGCAACACGGAACACCUGAGGCACGCUUACCCUCUAGUGGGGCCCAAGAAUCACGCCAAGCAGAUGAAGGAAGGGGCGGUGACGCAACUAGGCCUCCUGCAGCAGGGCCAGCCCAAGGCAGAGCGCGGCGGCCGUGACCCCGCAGCCGGCUCUCGGCGGCCGCCGCCUACGCCUCCCCCGGGCUCACCUUCUCCACGAGCCUGUUAGAAGUUCCUCAGAGCAAAGGCUUCAUCAUCGACACCUUUGCGCCUGGACCUGAUUUGGGGCUGCUGUGUGACAGAUGCCCAAUGAGAACACUGAGGCCCAGAAACUUAAAUAACUUGCCACACCCCAGCAAGUGGACGUCUGGAAUGCGAACCCUGGUCAGUCUGACUCCAAACCUUUGCUCCAUCCACUGCACCAUUCUGUAAGAAAAAGAGAAUGAAUUUGAACUUUAGGGGUUUCUCUGAAUCAUAUGGCUCCAAAAAAUGAGACAAUGCCCAAGACCAGUGUGAUGCCUUUACUUUUUAAGAGUUUAGCAAUAACAAUUAAUCUUUGCAAUUCCUCUGGUAUGAAAGCCAUGAAAAAACCUGCCAAACUGAAAUAAACAGGUGCACUUGUGUAUGAAGGG
rnacentral:lncRNA from 1 species